GCUGAGGAGUGAUGACAAUGAAAGGCCGAAUUGCAGUGCCUCUUAACAGUUUACUCUCGAGGCAUGAUGACAAAGUUCCCGAAGCGACCUUUUUAUCUGACCUUAGC
ensembl:snoRNA SNORD89 small nucleolar RNA, C/D box 89